rnacentral:misc_RNA from 1 species
GAGAGCGAGGCGAGAGAGAGAUCCUCAGUGUUCGGCUGAAAGCCAUCGGCUGGGGACGACACCGCGUCGUUCCCAGUGCUCGCUUGAUAACUUGACCACAAAUACUCCCUGGACUGGGUCUGUGGCACUCCCUCAGAUCCUGUAACUCUGACCAUCUUGUGGACAGUUUUUAUUUCUACAUUUAACUGUGCCGUGGACUGCCCGUGAAGAUCAACGCGACGUGUAUUUGGGGCAGACCUAACCCCAUCAUGAUUGGCACAACCAACUGCAGCAUCAACAUUGGAUUUAUCUGCCCUCGGACUCGUUAAGAGCGAGUGAAAUACAUCUCAACAAAUGUGGCUACACUCGCGAAUUUUAAAUAUAUUUUUUUAAAUUUUUUAAGUAUUUUUUUUUUGUUUUGUUUGCAACUUAAGUGCGUGCCAGUGUGGUUAGGGUACCCUUCUCGAUGCUGUGCGAGUGUGCGUCCAAGUGCUGAUUGCCGAUGGUGUGGGCGCGGAGUGCGGAGGCCGCUGCACCCCAAUCUGUGUGAAUGUGACCGGUGGCAGAACCAACAAGAAGCCAGCCAGUGCCAGUGCGUCGCGUCGUCUGCGUCCGCGGCCGUUUGAUGGCGGUGGUCGGGCCCUCGCGCCACACUCGGCACUCCAUGUCGGUGUCUAUGAUGCAAGGGGGCGGGGGUGGUGCCCAACACCAACAGGCUAUCCUGGCGGCGGCCCAGCCCUUCUACCAUCCUCAGCCUUCGUCCCACCAGCCAGCCACCCCUGCUGCUCACACGCAGGAUGUCCAGCCGGACAGGCCCAUUGGAUAUGGAGCCUUCGGAGUAGUAUGGGCUGUGACGGAUCCCCGUGACGGCCGCCGGGUCGCCCUCAAGAAGCUGCCCAAUGUCUUCCAUUCCCUGGUCUCGUCGAAGAGGGUCUUCCGGGAGCUCAAGAUGCUCUGUUUCUUCAAGCACGAGAAUGUCCUUUCCGCCCUGGACAUCCUGCAGCCGCCACACCUCGACUUCUUCCAAGAAAUCUAUGUCAUCACGGAACUGCUGCAGAGCGACUUGCACAAAAUCAUCGUGUCACCCCAGCACCUAUCUGCUGACCACAUCAAAGUAUUCCUGUAUCAAAUUUUAAGAGGUCUGAAGUAUUUGAGUUCAGCACGCAUUUUGCACCGUGAUAUCAAGCCCGGCAAUCUUCUGGUCAACAGCAAUUGUGUGCUGAAGAUCUGCGACUUCGGCCUGGCGCGCGUGGAGGAGCCCGACCAGAUGAAGCACAUGACGCAGGAGGUGGUGACGCAGUACUACCGGGCGCCGGAAAUCCUGAUGGGCGCGCGGCACUACUCGUCCGCCGUGGACGUGUGGAGCGUGGGCUGCAUAUUCGGCGAGCUGCUGGGCCGCCGGAUCCUCUUCCAGGCGCAGAACCCCGUCCAACAGCUGGAGCUCAUCACGGAGCUGCUGGGCACGCCGUCGCUGGAGGACAUGCGCUACGCGUGCGACGGCGCCCGCUCCCACAUGCUGCGGCGGCCCCACAAGCCGCCCUCGCUGUCGGCGCUCUACAUGCUGUCCUCGCAGGCCACGCACGAGGCCGUGCACCUGCUGUGCCAGAUGCUCGUCUUCGAUCCGGACAAGAGGAUCACCGUGAUGGACGCGUUGGCGCACCCGUACCUGGACGAGGGCCGCCUGCGGUACCACUCGUGCAUGUGCAAGUGCUGCUUCACGACGCGCGACGGCAUGCGCCAGUACACGACGGACUUCGAGCCGGUCGCCAGCAGCUCCUUCGACGACGUCUGGGAGAGGAAGUUGUCGUCUGUGCAGCAGGUCAAAGAGGAGAUGCACAAGUUCAUCGCAGAGCAGCUCAAUACGAACAGGGUGCCCUUGUGCAUUAACCCUCAAUCUGCUGCGUUCAAGAGUUUUGCAAGGUAAGGCGGUAAGGGGCCGUCUGGACUGCGGCCAGUGCCAGUGGGCCUUGGGCCUUGGCUGGGCCUUGGCUGGGCCGCGCGGGGUGAUCCAGCCUGCAGCCAAGCCCAGAGCCCAAGCCAGCCCAGGCCCUAGAGCCCAGGGCCGUGAUGGCCACUCAUCCACGCCGCCGUGCGCCGUGCCCAGAGCCACACUACCACCGCCACGUAACCGCAAGCCGCAACGUCCACGACCAUCCCUUACUACCUUCUUUGUCGUUCAAUACUCACAAGUGGAGAUUUCGUCUUCAGCAAAUUUGGUUCAUCUGUCGCGCACCCUGCCGAGCUGCCGCCCUCUCCCCAGCAGUGGGAAUGACAAAGGGCCCCCGGUGGCCUGCGUGUGCGCCAAGUGUAGGGCCUGCCUGGUCCCAGCUCGCCCUACCACGGCCGGCCUGCCUCCUCGCUCCUCGCUCCUCGCCGGGCUGGGCGAUGCAGGCCGCACCACGUCGCUUCCGGAACGCCCCCGUGGGCUUAGCCUGUGGCCAUAGCCUGGCCGUAGCCCCCUUGGCCCUUUCGCCGGCCCUCCCCGC